rnacentral:rRNA from 1 species
UACGAAGGGGGCUAGCGUUGCUCGGAAUCACUGGGCGUAAUGGGUGCGUAGGCGGGUCUUUAAGUCAGGGGUGAAAUCCUGGAGCUCAACUCCAGAACUGCCUUUGAUACUGAAGAUCUUGAGUUCGGGAGAGGUGAGUGGAACUGCGAGUGUAGAGGUGAAAUUCGUAGAUAUUCGCAAGAACACCAGUGGCGAAGGCGGCUCACUGGCCCGAUACUGACGCUGAGGCACGAAAGCGUGGGGAGCAAACAGG